rnacentral:rRNA from 1 species
GACAGAGGGUGCGAACGUUGCUCGGAAUUACUGGGCGUAAAGCGCGUGUAGGCGGGUCGGUGUGUCAGGUGUGAAAUCCCUAGGCUCAACCUAGGAACUGCAUCUGAAACUGCCGGUCUUGAGUGACGGAGAGGGCAGCGGAAUUCCUGGUGUAGAGGUGAAAUUCGUAGAUAUCAGGAGGAACACCGGUGGCGAAGGCGGCUGCCUGGACGUCUACUGACGCUGAGACGCGAAAGCGUGGGGAGCAAACAGG